rnacentral:rRNA from 1 species
GAUGAACGCUGGCGGCGUGCCUAAUACAUGCAAGUCGAGCGAAUGGAUUAAGAGCUUGCUCUUAUGAAGUUAGCGGCGGACGGGUGAGUAACACGUGGGUAACCUGCCCAUAAGACUGGGAUAACUCCGGGAAACCGGGGCUAAUACCGGAUAACAUUUUGAACCGCAUGGUUCGAAAUUGAAAGGCGGCUUCGGCUGUCACUUAUGGAUGGACCGGCGUCGCAUUAGCUAGUUGGCGAGGUAACGGCUCACCAAGGCAACGAUGCGUAGCCGACCUGACAGGGUGAGUGGCCCCACUGGGACUGAGACACGGCCCAGACUCCUACGGGAGGCAGCAGUAGGGAAUCUUCCGCAAUGGACGAAAGUCUGACGGAGCAACGCCGCGUGAGUGAGGAAGGCUUUCGGGUCGUAAAACUCUGUUGUUAGGGAAGAACAAGUGCUAGUUGAAUAAGCUGGCACCUUGACGGUACCUAACCAGAAAGCCACGGCUAACUACGUGCCAGCCGCCGCAGGAA